AGUGGAAUUGCUAGAUCAUAUGAUAACUCUAUGUUUAACUUUUUGAGAAACUGCCAGACUAUUUCCCAAAGUGGCUGUCACAUUUUACACACCCACCAGCAAC
rnacentral:pre_miRNA from 1 species